rnacentral:tRNA from 1 species
GGGGCUGUAGCUCAGCUGGUCAGAGCAACUGGUUUGCAACCAGUAGGUCACGGGUUCGAAUCCCGUCAGCUCCACCA